GACAGGCCCGCCUAUUCAU
rnacentral:tRNA from 1 species